rnacentral:rRNA from 1 species
UGCGGGGGGGCAAGCGUUGUUCGGAAUUACUGGGCGUAAAGGGCUCGUAGGCGGUCUGUCGCGUCUGCUGUGAAAACUCGGGGCUUAACCCCGGGCCUGCAGUGGGUACGGGCAGACUAGAGUGCGGUAGGGGAGACUGGAAUUCCUGGUGUAGCGGUGAAAUGCGCAGAUAUCAGGAGGAACACCGGUGGCGAAGGCGGGUCUCUGGGCCGUAACUGACGCUGAGGAGCGAAAGCAUGGGGAGCGAACAGG